UACAGAGGGUGCAAGCGUUAAUCGGAAUUACUGGGCGUAAAGCGCACGUAGGCGGUUGGUUAAGUUGGAUGUGAAAGCCCCGGGCUCAACCUGGGAAUUGCAUUCAAAACUGGCCAACUAGAAUACGGGAGAGGGGGGUAGAAUUCCAAGUGUAGCGGUGAAAUGCGUAGAUAUAGGAAGGAACACCAGUGGCGAAGGCGACCACCUGGACUGAUACUGACACUGAGGUGCGAAAGCGUGGGGAGCAAACAGG
rnacentral:rRNA from 1 species